rnacentral:rRNA from 1 species
AUGUUUAACGACUGCAUCGCGGAGCUUGGCCUCCGUGAGCUCGAGCGCACGGGGACCCGGUUCACCUGGACUAACCGCCAGGCGAACCCGACGCAGUCUGUCCUGGACCGCGUCUUAGUUUCCCUGGAAUGGGAGCUCAGAUGCCCCCUGGCCUCGGUUCAGGCUAUUACCAGGAUCGGCUCUGAUCAUGUCCCUCUCCUCCUCUCCUCUGCUGAUGAGCGCCCCCCACCCCCCCGGUUCCGGUUCGAGCUCUUCUGGCUCAACCAAGCCGGGUUUCGCGCGGCUGUUGCGGCUAAGUGGACCGCCGCGCGCGACUCCCCCCACCGCGCCAUGUCCGCGGUCAACUCCUGGCAGUUUUGCGCGAAGCUAGCCCGCCAAUUUAUGAAGGGCUGGGGCGCGAACCUCGGCCGUGAUAUCCGUGACCGCAAGAAGGCCCUCUUGAGUGCCAUCCAGGCCCUGGACGCCCGUGCUGACUCGUCCGGGAUCUCCCGGGAUGAGUGGAUGUUGAGAUAUGAUCUCGAGGACCAGCUCUCGGUCAUUUACGCCGACGAAGAGGCCUACUGGCAGUUGUGCGGCAUCCAACGGUGGGUGCUCCAGGGCGACGCCAACAGGGCCUACUUCCAGGCGAUUGCCAACGGCCGGCGUCGCCGCAACUCCAUUCACUCCCUGUGGGCGGGUGAUACUCAGCUUGUUCGACCCUCGGACAUCUGCGCCCAAGUAGAUGGCUUCUAUAAAGCCCUUUUCACCCCCACCCCUCGGGGUGGGGCUGCGCUGGCCCCCGAUACCUGGUCGGGUGCCCAGCUUGUUUCCGCCGAGGCCAAUGCCGCUUUAGUGGCGCCUUUCUCGGAGGAGGAGGUCCUUGCGGCGAUUAAAGGCAUGAACCCCUCCUCGGCUCCGGGCCCGGAUGGAUUGCCAGUAUUGUUCUUUAAAACAUUCUGGUAA